UCCCCCUCCCCAUUCUCUCUGUCUGACUAAUAUAACCCCAUUCGAACUUCUUUCGUACAAACUGUCACUCAACUCAUUCACCGCGAUGACAGCCGCAAACGGUACAAAGCCGGCCGCAACGCGGCAUAAUCGAGACAAUCAGUCAACAUCCCGGAAAAGGUGCCUCAACGUUUCAAUGCGACUUCGAUAGAUUUCGAUACCAAUCGUCACGUUCACCGUAUUAUGCCCGUAUCACACUAGCGAUUGACGGCUGCGUUUGCGUUUGCGUUUGCGCUUGCGAUUUGAUGUUUGUCAAUCACACUAGUGACCGCUGGGAGUAAGCGUUUGCAUUUCGUCGUUUCAAUGUAUAAUAAUAGGUUUUGCAACAGAAGUGAAGAAAAAUGGAACAUAGAAAGAAAAAAAAAAUAUGUGUCAUUGUGAUGUUAAUGAUGUUAAAGUCACAGUAUGAGAAAAAGGUUCUUCCUAAAAAAAAAAAUGUGGGUUUGAUCCUGGAUAGCUAAAAGAGCACAACAAGGUUGUUUUCAUAACCUCUUUCUAGAAUUACAACUAGAAGAUCCAGAUAAGUAUCGCAGAUGUCUUCGUAUGUCUUCAGAUUUGUUUGAGGAUCCCAGAUAGCCAAACCUGCGCAAACAGAUUCUGAACAGAACCUGUUGACAGAUUUUGUUGACAAUAAGGCUACAGACUGUAGACAAAAUCUGCUGUGUCAGGCGAUGUCGCCAAAUUGAUGUCAGUUAAGCGACAGAAUCUGCA